CCUUGCCUUGCCUUACUUUGCUUUGCCUUGCUUUGCUUUACCUUUGCCUUGCCUUGCCUUAGCCUUGGCCUUAACUUUGCCUUUGGUUGGUCUUUUGCUUUCCUUUACCUUGCCUUGCCUUGGCCUUCGCUUCGCCUUUGGUUGGUCUUUUGCUUUGCCCUUACCUUUGCCUUGCCUUGCCUUGCUUUGCCUUGCUUUGUCUUGCUUUGCUUUGCCUGGCCUUGCCUUGCCUUAGCUUUGCUUUGCUUUGCCUUCACCUUGCCUUGCUUCUCUUCGAUUCGCCUUGCUUUGCCUUGCCUUGCCUUUCCUUCCUUGCCUUGGCUUUUCUUUGCUUUCCUUUACCUUGCCUUGCCUUGCUUUUUUGCCUCGCUUCGCUUGACCUUUCGCUUGGUCUUUGCCUUGCCUUGGCGUUCGCUUUGCGCCUUGGCUCGCUUCCCCUUUCGUCUUGCAUUGCCUUGCCUUGUGUUGGCCUUUGCUUGCCUUCGCUUCGCUUCCCCUUUGCUCGGUCUUAACUUUGCCUUCGCUCGGUCUUACCUUGCUUUGCUUUGCUUUGCUUCGCUUUGCCUUUGCUUUGCUAUUGCUUUGCUUUCACCAUCGCCUUGCUUCUCUUCGAUUCGCCUUGCUUUGCACUUGCCUUGCCUUUCCUUGCCUUGCCUUGGCUUUUCUUUGCUUUUCUUUACUUUGUUUUUCUUUGCUUCAUUUUGCCUUUGCUUCGCUUUGCCUUCUCUUGGUCUUAACUUUGCCUUCGCUUGGUCUUCCCUUUGCCUUCGCUUUGCCUUGCUUCGCUUUGCCUGGCCUUGCCUUGCCUUGCUUUGCUUUGCUUUGCCUUGUUUUGCUUUGCUUUGCCUCGUUUUGCUUUGCUUUGCUUUUGCCAUUGCUUUGCCUCUGCCUUUGCCUUUGCCUUGCCUUUGCCUUCCAUGUUUCUUUGCUUUUCUUUACUUCGUUUUUCUUUGCUUCGUUUUGCCUUUGCUUCGCUUUGCCUUUGCUUUGCUUAGCCUUCGCUUGGUCUUAACUUUGCCUUUGCUUGGUCUUCCGUUUGCCUUCGCUUUGCCUUCCCUUUGCCUUCGCUUUGCCUUGCUUCGCUUUGCCUUCGCUUUGCCUUGCUUCACUUUGCCUGGCCUUGCCUUGCCUUGCUUUGCCUUUGCUUUUCCUUGUCUUUCAUUGUUUUGCCUUUCCUUUGCUUUGCCUUGCUUUGCCCUUGCCUUUGCCUUGCUUUGCUUAGCCUGGCCUUGCCUUCGCUUUGCCUUCGCUUGGUCUUCCCUUUGCCUUCGCCAUUGCUUUGCCUUGCCUUGCCUUUCUUUGCUUUGCCUUUGCCACCGCUUUCCUCAUCGCUUCGCCUUUGCUAUUGCUUUGCCUUGCUUUUCCUUUGCUUUGUCUUGCUUUGCCCUUGCCUUUGCUUUGCCUUUGCAUUGCUUUCCCAUUGCAUUGCCUUUGCCUUUACCUUUGCCACUGCUUUUCCUUGCCUUCCUUGCUUCGCUUAAUCUUGCUUCACUGAGCCUUGCCUUGCCUUUCUUUCAUUUGCCUUGCUUUCCCCUUGUCUUUGUUGUUGCUUUGCUUUUAACAUCGCCUUCAGUUUGCUUCGCUUUCCUUUGCCUUCCUUUGCUUUUGCCAUUGCUUUGCCAUUGUCUUGCUUUGGAUUUGCCUUGCUUUGCCUUUUCUUUGCUUUGCAUUGCCUUUGCCAUUGCUUUCCUAUGCCUAUUCUUUCCUUUGACUUAA
rnacentral:lncRNA from 1 species